GACAGAGGAUGCAAGCGUUAUCCGGAAUGAUUGGGCGUAAAGCGUCUGUAGGUGGCUUUUUAAGUCCGCCGUCAAAUCCCAGGGCCUCAACCCCGGACAGGCGGUGGAAACUACCAAGCUGGAGUACGGUAGGGGCAGAGGGAAUUUCCGGUGGAGCGGUGGAAAUGACGUAGAGAUCGGAAAGAACACCAACGGCGAAAGCAACUCUGCUGGGCCGACACUGACACUGAGAGACGAAAGCUAGGGGAGCGAAUGGG
rnacentral:rRNA from 1 species